AGGAAAACAGGUUUUUUGGUGAUUCAUAAUAACUUUUCGAAUCGUAUGACUUUACGUCGACGAUGGUUCAUUCAAAUUUCUGCCCUAUCAACUUUCGAUGGGAAGGGUUGUAUUUAUUAGAUACAGAACCAAUGAGCUUGGUGAUUCAUAAUAACUUUACGGAUCGCAUCUCUGAUGCGACAUGUCAUUCAAGUUUCUGAACUAUCAGCUUUAGACGGUAGGGUAUUGGCCUACCGUGGCUAUGACGGGUAACGGGGAAUUAGGGUUCGAUUCCGGAGAGGGAGCCUGAGAAACGGCUACCACAUCUAAGAAAGGCAGCAGGCGCGCAAAUUACCCAAUCCUGACACAGGAAGGUAGUGACAAGAAAUAACAAUACAGGGCCUAACGGUCUUGUAAUUGGAAUGAGUGAAGUAUAAACCCCUUUACGAGUAUCAAUUGGAGGGCAAGUCUGGUGCAAGCAGCCGCGGUAAUUCCAGCUCCAAUAGCGUAUAUUAAAGUUGUUGCAGUUAAAAAGCUCGUAGUUGGAUUUCUGUUGUAUAAUCUAUAAUAUUACUAAGGUAUAUAUUAUAUUAUCAACAUCCUUCCUAUUAUAUUUCUAAAUAUAUAGGAAACUUUACUUUGAGAAAAUUAGAGUGCUUAAAGCAGGCAACUGCCAUGAAUACUCCAGCAUGGAAUAAUAAGUAAGGACUUUUGUCUAUCUUAUUGGUUCUAGGACAAAAGUAAUAGUUAAUAGGGACAGUUGGGGGCAUUCGUAUUUAACAGCCAGAGGUGAAAUUCUUAGAUUUGUUAAAGACUAACUACUGCGAAAGCAUUUGCCAAGGAUGUUAUCAUUAAUCAAGAACGAAAGUUAGGGGAUCGAAGACGAUCAGAAAACUAAACUUCUAACAAA
rnacentral:rRNA from 1 species